rnacentral:rRNA from 1 species
AAGCUACCUUCGGGUAGUGGACAGCGGCGCACGGGUGAGUAACGCGUACACAAUCUACCUUAUAGAGGAGAAUAGCCCUGGGAAACUGGGAUUAAUGCUCCAUAGUAUUACACUUUGGCAUCAAGGUGUAAUUAAAGCUCCGGCGCUAUAAGAUGAGUGUGCGUACUAUUAGCUAGUUGGUAAGGUAACGGCUUACCAAGGCUACGAUAGUUAGGGGGCGUGAGAGCGUGACCCCCCACACGGGUACUGAGACACGGACCCGACUCCUACGGGAGGCAGCAGUAAGGAAUAUUGGACAAUGGGCGCAAGCCUGAUCCAGCCAUCCCGCGUGGAGGAUGACUGCCCUAUGGGUUGUAAACUCCUUUUAUUUGAGAAGAAACGCCUGGAUUUAUCCGGGCCUGACGGUAUCUUAUGAAUAAGCACCGGCUAACUCCGUGCCAGCAGCCGCGGUAAUACGGAGGGUGCAAGCGUUAUCCGGAAUCACUGGGUUUAAAGGGUGCGUAGGUGGUUUAGUAAGUCAGAUGUGAAAGCCCGGCGCUCAACGUCGGAAUUGCAUUUGAUACUGCUGAACUUGAAUCAGGUUGAGGUGGGCGGAAUGUGGCAUGUA